UGGGGAAUAUUGGACAAUGGGGGCAACCCUGAUCCAGCAAUGCCGCGUGGGUGAUGAAGGCCUUCGGGUUGUAAAGCCCUUUCGCACGCGACGAUGAUGACGGUAGCGUGAGAAGAAGCCCCGGCUAACUUCGUGCCAGCAGCCGCGGUAAUACGAAGGGGGCGAGCGUUGUUCGGAAUUACUGGGCGUAAAGGGCGCGCAGGCGGCCGCUCAAGUCAGGCGUGAAAGCCCCGGGCUUAACCUGGGAAUUGCGCUUGGGACUGUGUGGCUGGAGUUCGGGAGAGGAGAGUGGAAUUCCCAGUGUAGAGGUGAAAUUCGUAGAUAUUGGGAAGAACACCGGUGGCGAAGGCGGCUCUCUGGACCGAUACUGACGCUGAGGCGCGAAAGCGUGGGGAGCAAACAGGACUAGAUACCCUGGUAGUCCACGCUGUAAACGAUGUGCGCUAGACGUUGGAGGACCUAGUUCUCCGGUGUCGCAGCUAACGCUUUAAGCGCACCGCCUGGGGAGUACGGCCGCAAGGUUA
rnacentral:rRNA from 1 species